GCUGUGACUUCCGGUAUUUUGCUUCUCAGGUGAAACGCAUUAUUUCCACUAGUAUAAAGGUAAGGCAGUGCACGUCAAGCCUGGGUUUCUCAUAGUUGCUGUGUCUGUGCUGUGGGGCUUUGCUGCUGGGAGGUGUCGCUUGGAGGGUUGCUAGGCUACGGGUACGCUCUGUACCCCUCCUCUCUCUCUCUCUCUCUCUCUCUCUCUCUCUCUCUCUCUCUCUCUCUCUCUCUCUCUCUCUCUCUCUCAUUGCAGCCACGGGCUGUAUGAGCACCAGCGUAGAGUGUUUUGGGCAGAUGAAUACACUCCUGAAGGUGUGCGGAAUUGGGCGUGCCAGAAUACGGGUGGGUUUGAGUCUGCAUGCCAGAAUACCGGUGUGUUUGAGCGUUGGCGUACCGGAAUACAGGUCCUGGGGAAGCCCUCACUGCCCUAUACUGAUUUAGGUAAACAUACACCCGUAUGAAUGGUAACUUUUAUCUGAAGGUUCUGGUGUGGAUGUCGCCCAAGUUGAAUCUAGGUGGCUUCUAGAGACCUAAAUUAAGGAGCCUUGGAGUGGCGCCACUGCUGUUUUGCCUAUGAUCCAAUUUUGUUGUUUUCUUUUUUUGUUUUUUAC